CCGGCAUCGGGAAGAGGGAAAAGGAGCAAUCCGCUUUGAGAUGGCCUCGCGUCCGAUUAGCUAGUUGGUGAGGUAACGGCCCACCAAGGCGACGAUCGGUAGCCGGACUGAGAGGUUGAACGGCCACAUUGGGACUGAGACACGGCCCAGACUCCUACGGGAGGCAGCAGUGGGGAAUAUUGCACAAUGGGGGAAACCCUGAUGCAGCGACGCCGCGUGGAGGAAGAAGGUCUUCGGAUUGUAAACUCCUGUUGUUGAGGAAGAUAAUGACGGUACUCAACAAGGAAGUGACGGCUAACUACGUGCCAGCAGCCGCGGUAAAACGUAGGUCACAAGCGUUGUCCGGAAUUACUGGGUGUAAAGGGAGCGCAGGCAGGCGAUCAAGUUGGAAGUGAAAUCCAUGGGCUCAACCCAUGAACUGCUUUCAAAACUGGUCGUCUUGAGUAGUGCAGAGGUAGGCGGAAUUCCCGGUGUAGCGGUGGAAUGCGUAGAUAUCGGGAGGAACACCAGUGGCGAAGGCGGCCUACUGGGCACCAACUGACGCUGAGGCUCGAAAGUGUGGGUAGCAAACAGGAUUAGAUACCCUGGUAGUCCACACCGUA
rnacentral:rRNA from 1 species